rnacentral:lncRNA from 1 species
AUCACUUGUGAGUUCCAGCACAGACUUAGCUGGAUCACGAGCUGCAAGAUGAGGCACGCGACUAACCCUCCUAUGAGGAUUCUUCUAGCAUCACGGCUAUCCCUACGAGCGCUAGAGUCUGUGGAGGGAAGGUGGCUCUAAUCUACGAGGAAUCUUCUAGCUCCGGAGUACUCUUUGAAGCUUCUCUACAAUCAAAUAACAACAAUCAAAGACAGUAUGUCGCUACUCAAUCCUGAUUUUGAUCGACCUCCACGGCAAUCUAUUUAUAGCAAAACGCCACAACCACCACCCACUCGGGAGUUACUAUUUGCCCAUGACAAGUACUGACGAG